AAAUGACAAUAAUUAAUUUAAGUAACAAAAAAUAACAAAAUCAGGCAAAAUAUAUAUGAUUAUUGAAUGUAAACAUGGUUUUGUUGUUAUUUUAGUCCUUAAUAAUUUAAUUUUAAUGUCUAAAUAAAAGAAUUUAAUAUUUUCAAUGGACAUGACCACCCAUGUAUCAUGGAUGUAGAUAUUCAAGAGCCUGACUGUCGGGUCCUGGUCUCCAUAGUAACGGACUCACGAGCCGAUGGCUUGUUUAGCAUCCGGUUGAACGUGGAACUGAACUCAAACCUGCGGUGAAGUAAGCACAGAGGGGAAUCCUACCGAACAGCUGCCAUAAUGAACGGCGGACAUCGGAGAUGGAGAACAGAUUCUUCAAUAUGUAUUUACUGUUGUGUUUGAAAUUAGAAUGUUGUCAUAAAAUAAUUGUGUUGAUAUACAUGGUGCUUUUAUUGAUAUUACAAACAUUAAAUUGUAUGGGGCAAAAAUUGUAUUUUUCAUUGCGCCAUGUGAUCACAAUGAAUGACUAAUUUUGCUAUGUAGGUUGUUUGUAUUGACAAUAAAGGUUUGAUUCAAAGUUA